ACUCCUACGGGAGGCAGCAGUAGGGAAUCUUCCACAAUGGGCGCAAGCCUGAUGGAGCAACACCGCGUGAGUGAAGAAGGGUUUCGGCUCGUAAAGCUCUGUUGUUAAAGAAGAACACGUAUGAGAGUAACUGUUCAUACGUUGACGGUAUUUAACCAGAAAGUCACGGCUAACUACGUGCCAGCAGCCGCGGUAAUACGUAGGUGGCAAGCGUUAUCCGGAUUUAUUGGGGCGUAAAGAGAGUGCAGGCGGUUUUCUAAGUCUGAUGUGAAAGCCUUCGGCUUAACCGGAGAAGUGCAUCGGAAACUGGAUAACUUGAGUGCAGAAGAGGGUAGUGGAACUCCGU
rnacentral:rRNA from 1 species